rnacentral:rRNA from 1 species
GACGAACGCUGGCGGCGUGCUUAACACAUGCAAGUCGAACGGAAAGGCCCUGCUUUUGCUGGGUUCUCGAGUGGCGAACGCGGGAGUAACACGCGAGUAUCCUGCCCCUGACUUUCGGAUAACUUCUGGAAACUGGGGCUAAUACCGGAUAGGAGCUCUUGCUCCACGGGGUGCGAUGGAAAGAUUCGGCGGUUGGGGAUCGACUCGCGGCUUAUCCGCUUGUUUGGGGAGUAGUGGCAUACGAAGGCUUCGACGGGUAGCCGGCCUGGGAGGGUGACCGGCCUCAUUGCGACUGAGAUACGGCGCAGACGCCUACGGGAGGCAGCAGUGGAGAAUAUUGCACAGUGGGCGGGAGCCUGAUGCAGAAGCGCCGGGUGCGGGAUGCCGGGUUACGGGUUGUAAACCGAUUUCGCCUGUAACGAAGCGUGAGUGACGGUAAUGGGUAAAGAAGCACCGGCUAACUACGUG